GACCCUGUAGUGAAGUUCAUGGUGGGUUGCAAACUCAUCGAUGCGCAUUUAAGUGUGCCGGGGUCU
rnacentral:tRNA from 1 species